rnacentral:rRNA from 1 species
GACGAACGCUGGCGGCGUGCUUAACACAUGCAAGUCGAACGGAAAGGCCCUGCUUGCAGGGUACUCGAGUGGCGAACGGGUGAGUAACACGUGGGUGAUCUGCCCUGCACUUCGGGAUAAGCUUGGGAAACGGGGUCUAAUACCGGAUAGGAGCCAUCUUUAGUGUGGUGGUUGGAAAGUUUUUUCGGUGUAGGAUGAGCUCGCGGCCUAUCAGCUUGUUGGUGGGGUAAUGGCCUACCAAGGCGGCGACGGGUAGCCGGCCUGAGAGGGUGUACGGCCACAUUGGGACUGAGAUACGGCCCAGACUCCUACGGGAGGCAGCAGUGGGGAAUAUUGCACAAUGGGCGCAAGCCUGAUGCAGCGACGCCGCGUGGGGGAUGAAGGCCUUCGGGUUGUAAACUCCUUUCGCUAGGGACGAAGCUUUGUUGUGACGGUACCUAGAGAAGAAGCACCGGCUAACUACGUG